rnacentral:lncRNA from 1 species
GUCUCCCAACUACUCGCGGCGUUGUUAAACGUUCAAAUGAGUCUGCUCUAUUUGUAUCUUUAUAUCAGUUGAAAAUAGCCGUUUUUAUUUGCAAGUCGUCCUGGAUUUUAACGUUCCCUUGCUCUCUCUAAUAAAGUGAAGGUAUUAUUAUCUAUUGAUUUGUUUUAAAAUGUCUCGUAGUGUGUUUAUACUGUAUUGUCAUACAAUUAAAGGGGAAGUCAAGUCCGUAAUGUAAACAAACGGUUUGUUUACAUUUUGAACUGCUGUAUUUUUUAAAAUAUGAUGUACUGUCUGAAUAUCUAACACCAUUUUGGUUCGUUAUGCUUCUACAUGAAUAUGAAAUAGAGUUUGUGUUCAGAAAAAUUCGAAACAUUCAAAAUUUGGGCAAUGUUUACCUCAGAGGGCCCUCUAUUGUUAUGCGCAGAACCGAUGCGCAGAACGGACUUGACUUCCCCUUUAACAUUUUUUCGCAUCGUCGAUCACAGACGAUCAGAGUCGACUCAGAGUAAACCACAAAUUUACUGUAUAUCCAUACCAAUCAGCCAUGGUUAAGGCAAUUGUUUUACUGAUAUUUAGAUAUGUAGUUAAUAACUGAUUUUAAUAGUAGAUUCUGCUUUUAUGCACCCUGUCUUGAUGUAGUUUGUUCCGAUCAGUUUGAUGUACCCCUAUAAAACAAAUCAAGUGUCUCUUGAAAGUGAUAUCUGGCUGCUUGCAGAUUCACAGAAUAUUUUUAUUUUUAGUUUUUAAUCCCAUUCUACGAAUGACAUGUAUGGAUCCAGAAUAUGAAAAACGUUUGUUACUACGACAACAUGGUACAAGUCCACUGUCCUCACCCACAUCUCCAGUAAGUUCAUUAAAUAUGGGCUGGCAGGGCUGUUAUGAAGACAAAUGGAAACUAAAGCUUGUAUUACUAGCUGCCAUACUCCCUGGUAGAGAUUGACUGAUUGUGCAACAAUUGGAAAUUACCGAUUAUUCAUGCCACAAUCUGCCAUGCUUGCAGAUGCUUAUACCGAUUUUAAAAUGACAUAAUAUCAGUCGACCUAGUAAAGGUGACAUUCAUGUCGAUUUUUUAAUGAUAAUUUCCAAUGUAACAUGUUAGUGCAACCAAAGAUUGUUAAAACCAUCAAUAAAUAGCAUUGAAAUGCAACAGGUAUCAACAUAUCAUUUUUCAGGUGCACAUUUUCUCAACAAUCACUUUUAGACAAUCAGAAAUAUAGAUAAUUCUACCAUGCAAUUCCAGUUGCCUACCGAUAAGGCUAAAAUUGGCUUGAUGCUGAUACCAAUUAUUAGUUAAUCACUACUCCCUGGACCAGUCAAUGUAUUUUUGUCCUGGCUAGUUAUUUUUUAUGCCUUUCUUGGGUUAAAAGGAAACCUGCAUGCAAGUCAUAUACAGCUUUGAAUAUCUGCAUCCUAAAUCAUGAUGCAAAAUUCUUGUUGGUCCGUUAUAUUUAUAGAAAUAACACAUCAUUCCUAUAAUACUGAAAUUGCAUGCAACAUGCUAAUAGAUAACCAGUCACUCUUAUCACCAAAAAAUCUCACCCAGUCUUGCAGGUGAUCAUCUUGUUCACAAUAUAUAUUGCAAGGCAUUGUAAACAUUUAUACAAAAUCAAAAUCCAUGGUUCAAUGUAGAAUGCAUUCAUUCGAACUUAUCUUUGAUCUUGGUCAUGUGAGUUGUUCCAUGUGCGAACAUAGCAGCUUCAUGAAUCAUGAUUUUAAUUGCCAACAAGACAUUUCCUUACCAUAUUACCGAUUUUUCGGUUACUGUAUUGGAAAUGAAAGCCGGUUUUAUAAUUAAAAAGAAAACCAAACAAAAUCGAAAAAUGGUUAACCGCCCAAGCCUAGGUGGAACAUUCAUUCUUGAAGCACACUUUAACAAGUGAUCUUGUGCAUUGAAUUUCUAUAAUUCCAACUUGUGCAUUGAAUUUCUUUGAUUAAAUCAGUGUUUUAAGCUAUUGUGCAGGCACUUAUAAUAAGAGUUUUUGUAACUUGUAAUUUUAAUUGAAGGCGUGUUCACCUUAUCGAUCACCACGAAAAGAAGUUUACAGUGACAGGUGAAUC